UGGAGAUUGCCUCAGUGUUUCCCAGAAGACUGAAGGCUUCCAUAUGGGCCUGAACCACUGAUUGAGCACCUGGGGAAAGGGCCCAUUCAGCCCUGGGGGCAUGGGUGAAGGCAGUUCAGAUGUGAGACCAGAAAGGGUGGAGUCUGGCUGCAUCUUGCUUAAACCUCAGUUAAGUGCUCACUACCAGUGGGGAAGGAAUUCUGAUUGGAGGUCUUUCUUCUGAGGAGUCUAGAGACUGGGACUUGCUGAACAAAGUAUCAAGUGUCAGUGCAGGGCUCCAGAAAGGAUGUGAUAAGAAUGUUACUUGCUUCUUAAUCUCAUAGGAUAAGGCUCAUUUGGGAUCAACUCCUUUCUGUGAAGUUUUUUCUCUGCUAUCUGAAAGGCCCUUACCGCUGCUGAAGAGGAUCUCCCUGGCUGGGAGCAGACAGAACUGAAUGCAGCAGUCAUAUUCUCCAGCAAGGUUGCUUCUCCAGAAAUUUCCCUUGUCGUUCCACCGGAUAAAACUGGCAGAAAUGCAUCAUCAGAUGAAGGUUUUGCCAUUUUAAUGUGUUCUCUCUUUACAAAUACACCAAAUAUAUAAGGGAUACGUUUGAUGUAACCCUCUGCUGUACUGAGUAUUGCAUAAAAAGUCUUGCAAUCUCUCUCUCUAAUUAUACCCAACAAGGGCAGUAACAGCUCUGGCUGAGAGGUCCGAACCACAGUUCAGAGUUUCUCUUAAUGAUUUAAACCAAGGUCUGACUCCAGAGUUUUGAGUUCAAUGGUUUUGUAGCUUCCUUCUUGAUUUCAGACAUUUCCUUGAAAAAAGGAGGCCACGGAGGCUAGAUAAACAAAUAAUUAAAACAGUUGUUUUCUAAAGCAGCAAGCAGUUUGAGCUGGCUUUCUUAUAUUUUCCCAGAUUCCUAGCUAUUACAGAAAGAAUAAGGUGAAUGCCUAAAAAGCAAAUAAUGAUACAAGUUUCUAAAUUUACGUUACAGUUUUGAGUGUGUUUUAUGGACUCAUUUUAUGUGAACAUUAGUUCUAUACUACUCUUCCAGAGCAGACACUGCAAAAAAUAAUUAUAAUAAAAAGUCCUUCUUAUCAAAGAGUUUAAAGGAAAUACAUUCUUUGUGCUUCUGCUUGUAACAGGAAACAAAUAUUAGUUGCCUGAGUUCAGUGUCUCUGAAAAGCCAGUCAACCAUAGCUAGAAAACAGGAGUAUUAUUUCUGCUCCUCUAAUUCUGAUUUUGAAUGGUAUUAUUACUUUCAAGCUACUGAAAACAAACCUGCAUACUUUGUUUAUACUGUCGAAUGGUUUGAAGGCACAAAUUACCUCCCCUGCAUAUUUAGUGGAAAUAUUUUGCAGUGUUUUCUUUGACUAAAAAGAGGACAGAGAUGAAUUUGAAGGACUUCUAUUCUAACAAUGUUUAUGUAAAAUAACUUCUGACAAAUUAAAACUAUGUUCACACUCCAAAUAUUUUGGUUCUCCCAAAUGAAAAUCUAAAUUUAGAAGAGUUGCCCAAGAAAGGGAAGUGAAUUGAUAUUCCAGUACCAAAAAAAACCUGCAUAUCUGCUUUCAGGCAAUUAGUUUAUAUUAUCUGCGUGCAGUUCAGACUUAAUUAAUAACAGACAAAAUAUUUCAGGUAGUCAUCAGAUUUAGCACAAAAAGGUGAGGUACUUAGUUCAGGUUAAUGAUUCAGUAAAGUGGUAUCAAAGAUGCACUUUUUGUUUGUUUGUUUGUUUUGUUUUGUUUUUUUUCUCCAAGAAAAGGAAGAGGGAAUGUACUUUCUAUUUCUAACCACUGGAGUUUCCUUUUUGGAUGUUUGAAAGUUUUAAUCAGAGCCUACAUUGGUAUGAUUCUUUUGUUUGUUUUCUUGGAUAACUGAUAAUUAGCCAAUUUUGAAUGCCAAAUGAAUAAAUAUUGCUAAUUUUCAUA